ACCACUUCUAAGUCCGACCUCC
rnacentral:miRNA from 1 species